rnacentral:rRNA from 1 species
AUUGAACGCUGGCGGCAGGCUUAACACAUGCAAGUCGAGCGAGCGGCGGACGGGUGAGUAAUGUCUGGGAAACUGCCUGAUGGAGGGGGAUAACUACUGGAACCGGUAGCUAAUACCGCAUACCAUCAGAUGUGCCCAGAUGGGAUGAGCUAGUAGGUGGGGUGAGGGCUCACCUAGGCGACGAUCCCUAGCUGGUCUGAGAGGAUGACGAGCCAUACUGGAGCUGGUGCACGGUUCAGAAUCAUGAGGGAGGCAGCAGUGGCGAAUAUUGCACAAUGGGCGCAAGCCUGAUGCAGACAUGCCGCGUGUGUGAAGAAGGCCUUCGGGUUGGAAAGCACUUUCAGCGAGGAGGCGGUACUCGCAGCUGAAGCACCGGCUAACUCCGUGCCAGCAGCCGCGGUAAUUC